CAGCAGUCGCCGCGGGAAUACGGAGGGUGCAAGCGUUAAUCGGAAUUACUGGGCGUAAAGCGCACGCAGGCGGUCUGACAAGUCAGAUGUGAAAUCCCCGGGCUUAACCUGGGAACUGCAUUUGAAACUGUCAGGCUGGAGUCUUGUAGAGGGGGGUGGAAUUCCAGGUGUAGCGGUGAAAUGCGUAGAGAUCUGGAGGAAUACCGGUGGCGAAGGCGGCCCCCUGGACAAAGACUGACGCUCAGGUGCGAAAGCGUGGGGAGCAAACAGGAUUAGAUACCCCUGUAGUCCCUGUCUCUUAUAC
rnacentral:rRNA from 1 species